rnacentral:rRNA from 1 species
AUUGCCCUAGUAACGGCGAAGUGAAGCGGCAACAGCUCAAAUUUGAAAUCUGGCUCUUUUAGAGUCCGAGUUGUAAUUUGCAGAGGGCGCUUUGGCGUUGGCAGCGGUCCAAGUUCCUUGGAACAGGACGUCACAGAGGGUGAGAAUCCCGUACGUGGUCGCUAACCUUCGCCGUGUAAAGCCCCUUCGACGAGUCGAGUUGUUUGGGAAUGCAGCUCUAAAUGGGAGGUAAAUUUCUUCUAAAGCUAAAUACUGGCCAGAGACCGAUAGCGCACAAGUAGAGUGAUCGAAAGAUGAAAAGCACUUUGGAAAGAGAGUCAAAUAGCACGUGAAAUUGUUGAAAGGGAAGCGCUUGCAGCCAGACUUGCCUGUAGUUGCUCAUCCGGGCUUUUGCCCGGUGCACUCUUCUGCGGGCAGGCCAGCAUCAGUUUGGGCGGUUGGAUAAAGGUCUCUGUCAUGUACCUCUCUUCGGGGAGGCCUUAUAGGGGAGACGUCAUGCAACCAGCCUGGACUGAGGUCCGCGCAUCUGCUAGGAUGCUGGCGUAAUGGCUGUAAGCGGCCCGUCUUGAAACACGGACCAAGGAGUCUAACAUCUAUGCGAGUGUUUGGGUGUCAAGCCCGAGCGCGUAAUGAAAGUGAACGGAGGUGGGAACCCUUUAGGGUGCACCAUCGACCGAUCCUGAUGUCUUCGGAUG